CGCGGAGUGGAGCAGUUCAAUUUCGCGGCGUGGAGCCGUUGGAAGGUCGUAGGUUCAAGUCCUGCCUCCGCAACCA
rnacentral:tRNA from 1 species